rnacentral:rRNA from 1 species
UACGAAGGGUGCAAACGUUGCUCGGAAUUAUUGGGCGUAAAGCGCACGUAGGCGGCAUAGCAAGUCGGAUGUGAAAUCCCUCGGCUCAACCAAGGAAGUGCAUCCGAAACUGCUGUGCUUGAGUACGAAAGAGGAUCGCGGAAUUCCAGGUGUAGCGGUGAAAUGCGUAGAUAUCUGGAGGAACACCGGUGGCGAAGGCGGCAUCCUGGACCGGCAUUGACGCUGAGGCGCGAAAGCCAGGGGAGCAAACGGG